UACAGAGGGGGCAAGCGUUAUUCGGAAUUAUUGGGCGUAAAGGGCGCGUAGGCGGCUUUCAAGUGACGAGUGAAAUCCCUCGGCUUAACCGAGGAACUGCCUGUCAGACUGGAAGGCUUGAGACCGGGAGAGGUGAGUGGAAUUCCCAGUGUAGCGGUGAAAUGCGUAGAUAUUGGGAGGAACACCGGUGGCGAAGGCGACCACCUGGACGGAGACUGACGCUGAGGCGCGAAAGCAUGGGGAGCGAACAGG
rnacentral:rRNA from 1 species